rfam:Brochothrix thermosphacta DSM 20171 = FSL F6-1036 c29, whole genome shotgun sequence.
AUGAUUCUUCGGGGCAGGGUGUAAUUCCCGACCGGCGGUGACAAAAAUAUUAUUUUUGAAGUCCGUGAACCAUAAUUUCGAUUGUGGUUGAUUCAGUGAAAAUCUGAAACCGACAGUUAAAGUCUGGAUGGGAGAAGUAAUCA